GUUGCAGGUGAUGUCUCUCCUAGGAAGCUUCUGAGCUGGACUUACCUAUUUCAGCCUGUGGACAUUUGCUUAUGUCAUAAUCCCUGGCCCCCACCAUGCCUUAACAUGCUAGGUAAGAGGAGGACACCCAGAGGCAGUAUCCAGUAUGUGAAUGCAUACUGGGUGUUUUCCAUGCGACCAACUCCACAGGAAUGGUGGCACCAUGACCUCUUGGAUAUGUGAGCUGUCAUUUGUCACCUUUCAAGCUCUCACAUGGAUUUCAAGUGUGGCCUUUCCUUGUAGAAGACUUUCAACUUAUCACAAAAUGACUUGGAUGCUGGGCAUGGAGCUUCAGUCCUUCAAUUCCAGCACUUGAGAAGUAGAGGCUUGCAGACAAGAAAUCACCUUCUGGCUUUCCAUUUUGCCAGGACGGAUCGUGAGGCUGGCGAGGCUGCCAUGGAAAAACUGUGCAAAGCGUGGUUUGGCCACUUCGCCCCCUGUAAGAACAAGAAAUACUAUCAUCUGCCUUGAGGAGACCAGCCACAAUGGAAGUGCUCCUGAGGUCUGUGCGGACAAGGACCACCUCCAUUCCAUGUCUCUUAUGGACUUCUGUGGCACCUUGAACCUUAUCCAGGUAGCAGAUGACCAUCAUGGUGCUCACAAGUGAUGUUCCUCACCCCCAGGGAGGUGACACUUUUGGGAAGUUACAGAGGAGCAGGUGGAGAACUCUCAGAGUACAUCCAGCCUUUCUGUGUCCUAGAGGUGGUCAGGGAUCUCAAUGUAACACGGCUAGCUCAAGCUGUUCAUGGUGGGCUGGACCCUAGGACUCUUCUCUCUUGUCUUCAGG